rnacentral:rRNA from 1 species
GAUGAACGCUAGCGGGAGGCCUAAUACAUGCAAGUCGAGCGGUAAGUUUCUUCGGAAACCUAGAGCGGCGCACGGGUGAGUAACGCGUACAUGACCUACCUUUAAGACCGGGAUAGCCCUGGGAAACUGGGAUUAAUACCGGAUGUGAUAAUAGAUAUAAAGAUUUAUUAUUAAAGUUCCGGCGCUUAGAGAUGGAUGUGCGUCUGAUUAGCUAGUUGGUAGGGUAACGGCCUACCAAGGCGACGAUCAGUAGGGGGCGUGAGAGCGUGGCCCCCCACACGGGUACUGAGACACGGACCCGACUCCUACGGGAGGCAGCAGUAAGGAAUAUUGGUCAAUGGACGGAAGUCUGAACCAGCCAUCCCGCGUGCAGGAUGAAGGUCCUAUGGAUUGUAAACUGCUUUUAGCAGAGACGAAACGCUUUCAUUUAUGAGAGUCUGACGGUAUCUGCAGAAUAAGCACCGGCUAACUCCGUG